ACCUGGGUGGCUCAGUUAGUUGAGCACCUGACUCUGGCUUAGGUUGUGAUCUCACAGUUUGUGAGUUCAAGCCCCACAUCAGGCU
rnacentral:tRNA from 1 species